CCCCCAGUAACUGCGAGUGAAGAGGGAAGAGCUCAUCAUUGGAAUCUGGCAGCGUCUCGCUGUCCGAGUUGUAGAUGAGAAGAGUGGGCCAUCUGGACUGCAUGGUGUCCAAGUACAAUAGGCCGUCAGUGGGACAUCAUAGAGGGUGACAAUCCCGUCCUUGACACCAAUGUACGAGUCCUUUUACGAUGCCUAUCUCGGAGAGUCGAGCAGUUUGGGAUUUGCUGCUUAAACAUGGGAGGUAGAUUCCUUCCAAAGCUAAAUACAGGCAAGAGACCGAUAGAGAACAAGUACCGCAAGGGAAAGAUGAAAUAGAACUCUGUGAAGGGAGUCAAAAGACGUGAAAUUGUUGCGAGAGAAGCGAUUCAAGUCAGCGUAGCUGGGCCCAUCAAGCCUCGCGCUUUGGACCAGCUUUGCCAGCGGUCUUGUCCUAGAGACUCGACUAAGGUGCCCUGCCCGGUCUGACGGGCAGACCUUCCCCCCUGGGGGAGGCCAGCGGCACGGCUGGUGGAAUGGCUUGCAAUCGACCCGUCUUGAAACACGGACCAAGGAGUCUAACAUGCAUGCGAGUAUAAGGGUGGCAAACCCGUAUGCGCAAAGAAAGUGAUAGCCUUUACGGCUGUGAAUGACCUGAUGACCAGACAAGCGAUAUCAUGUCCCUCGUACGGUCAUUGCCCAAGUCCCGUGGUCAGAUCCCAUGGACAUGGAGUUGGAGCGUGCAUGCUAGGACCCGAAAGAUGGUGAACUAUGCCUGGACAAAGCGAAGCCAAAGGAAACUCUGGUGGAGGCUUGUAGCGAUUCUGACGUGCAAAUCGAUCGUCUGAUCUGGGUAUAGGGGCGAAA
rnacentral:rRNA from 1 species